UACGUAGGGAGCAAGCGUUGUCCGGAAUCAUUGGGCGUAAAGCGCGCGUAGGUGGCCACAUAAGUCCGUUGUGAAAGUCAAAGGCUCAACCUUUGAAAGCCGAUGGAUACUGUGUGGCUAGAGUACGGAAGGGGCGAGUGGAAUUCCUGGUGUAGCGGUGAAAUGCGCAGAUAUCAGGAGGAACACCAAUGGCGAAGGCAGCUCGCUGGAACGGUACUGACGCUGAGGCGCGAAAGCGUGGGGAGCGAACAGG
rnacentral:rRNA from 1 species